AAACGGAAUGUUCCCAGGAGUUGGCAGUUGAGCUGAGGAGGGGGAGGGAACUGGACUUGGAGUCACUCUCUCUGGAGGUUGUAACCUGGCUGAAAGACCCUGGUGGGGCUGACUUGGUUUUGGGGUUCUCUGACUUUGGACAGUUGAAGUUGACAAGAAGAAGAAACUUGGCUUUUGAGUUGGUGGUCUAUUUGAGAGUUGAGCUGACCAGGAGGAACUGAGAGACUUUGAAUUUUGUUUCUCUCUAGGGUUAAGCUUAGAGACCUUGCUGAUUUUGUGAAGAAAGAAGAUUUUGAACAGCUGUUGUCCUCCAUCUCCCUAACUGUCUUAGAGUCACAGCUUGUGACUGGACUACUUUCUCAAACCCUCAUUUUAGAUUAGGGACAUCCUCAUCCCUCUCACCUCGUUUUCCCAUCCUGUUAUCCCAAUAAACCCCUUGACUUGAAAAAGAAAAGACUAUCUUUAUAGUUCACUGAAGUAAGCAGUGUCAGGUUCCUGUAACAGCUCUCUCUAGUCAUAAACCAGAGGGCAGCAGUCAUUGCAGAAGAAACCAUUUCCCCACAGUUUACCUUCUCUAUUUCAAUAAGUAAUAGUUUCCUUCAGUUUACUAUUCUAUUUCAGAGCCCAUCAUGUGAGAGAGGAUUCCCCAUAUCCUAUGAAUAUAUUUUGCCAUUUGGACCUUAUAACAAACUUGUGAGAUACCCACUAUGGACAAAAAUUGUCCCCAUUUUACAGAAGAGAAUACUAAAGUUCAGAGAAAUCAUAUGACUUAUCCAUGGACAUGCAUCUAAUAAAGUGUGAGAGGCAAGAUUUAAAAUCAAAGUCCAGCAUUGCUUAUAAUGCAUAAUGCCUUCCUUCAUGAUUAUGUAAGAUCAUCUGCCAUAAAACUAAGGCCUUUAAGGAAUAUUGCCUCAGUACUUCCUUUCAUCUCAUAUCUACUUCAGGAAGAGACUAAGAUGAAUUGGGCCAAAGGUCUUUAUUGGAUGAGAAGAUUGGAGAAAGAUGGUGACAAGAAAAAAAAUGUGCACUCUUCCACAGCUGUAUGCCUCAAAAUCCCUGCCAAGAGACCAGCCAUGAGAUGCCCCAGGCAAGACCCCAGACCAAGAGACUUGCUGCUUCCUUGAUCCCUAAUUGAUAUUGAUGUCACUCCUUCUGGGUCUCCCUGGUUGGACAGACUUGACCUCAUUCUGGGUCAGAGACUAGUCUUCUACAUGCCAAGAGUCACACAAUUUAAGAGGCAAGCAUCUUCCUGUAUGCCAGGGAGCCACAAAGCCUCUAGCUUCCGCCCAUGGUACACAUGGUCCCCAGUCAAAGGGUGGGGCUGAGACCAAAAUGGAUUUUCAAAACUUUCCUUUCCAAAAAGAAAGCGGGACUCAAAUUUAUAUUAAAUGCACAUAGCAUGUACUAAAUUGAAUCACUGUGGUAUCCCACAAAACAAUUCCACCGAAAGUUUGCUUUGGGAAAAUAUCUUCAUACAACUCAACUAUACUACAUACAUACAUAUACAUACAACAACAACUAACAUACAACAAACUAUAGCUCAUGUCU
ensembl:lncRNA